rnacentral:rRNA from 1 species
CAGUAGCCGCGGUAAUACGAAGGGUGCAAGCGUUACUCGGAAUUACUGGGCGUAAAGCGUGCGUAGGUGGUGGUUUAAGUCCGUUGUGAAAGCCCUGGGCUCAACCUGGGAAUUGCAGUGGAUACUGGGUCACUAGAGUGUGGUAGAGGGUGGUGGAAUUUCCUGUGUAGCGGUGAAAUGCGUAGAUAUAGGAAGGAACAUCAGUGGCGAAGGCGACCACCUGGACUGAUACUGACACUGAGGUGCGAAAGCGUGGGGAGCAAACAGGAUUAGAUACCCCAGUAGUCCCUGUCUCUUAUAC